rnacentral:ncRNA from 2 species
UGCCGGAGGGAUCGAUUGCUUCUCCUUUUCCAGCAAAGGAUGGAAUCUCUCCCUCUGGUCUGA